rnacentral:ncRNA from 1 species
CUCUUCAGGGCGGGGUGUAAGUCCCCACCGGCGGUAAAGCCCGCGAGCCGAAAGGCAUGAUUCGGUUAGAUUCCGAAGCCGACAGUAUAGUCUGGAUGAAAGAAGAUU